GCGAACGACGGGAAUUGAACCCGCGCAUGGUGGAUUCACAAUCCACUGCCUUGAUCCACUUGGCUACAUCCGCCCCUCUACUAUUAUCUAGUAUUACUAUAUUUUUCCAUUAACAUAAAAAAGCAUAUUCUUUCUCAUUUUUAUUGAAUAAAUAAAAGUAAUAAAUAAGCAAAAUUUUCAUUUUUAUCUAGAAUUUAAAUUGUUAAAAAAAAAAACUUCAUAAAAGAUUAGGAAAAGUAAAAGUAUAUGAUAUAGAAACCUAUAAUAUAAAUGAAUACAAAUAAAAACAAACAAAUCGAACCAAAUUAUAAAAAGUACUUGUUAUUUUUAAAGUUUAAAGAAACUAUGUAAGGCAAAUAGUACUA
rnacentral:tRNA from 1 species